GCGGCGUACGGGUGCGGAACACGUGUGCAACCUGCCUUUAUCUGGGGGAUAGCCUUUCGAAAGGAAGAUUAAUACCCCAUAAUAUAUUGAAUGGCAUCAUUUGAUAUUGAAAACUCCGGUGGAUAGAGAUGGGCACGCGCAAGAUUAGAUAGUUGGUGAGGUAACGGCUCACCAAGUCAGCGAUCUUUAGGGGGCCUGAGAGGGUGAUCCCCCACACUGGUACUGAGACACGGACCAGACUCCUACGGGAGGCAGCAGUGAGGAAUAUUGGACAAUGGGUGAGAGCCUGAUCCAGCCAUCCCGCGUGAAGGACGACGGCCCUAUGGGUUGUAAACUUCUUUUGUAUAGGGAUAAACCUACCCUCGUGAGGGUAGCUGAAGGUACUAUACGAAUAAGCACCGGCUAACUCCGUGCCAGCAGCCGCGGUAAUACGGAGGGUGCAAGCGUUAUCCGGAUUUAUUGGGUUUAAAGGGUCCGUAGGCUGAUUUGUAAGUCAGUGGUGAAAUCUCACAGCUUAACUGUGAAACUGCCAUUGAUACUGCAAGUCUUGAGUGUUGUUGAAGUAGCUGGAAUAAGUAGUGUAGCGGUGAAAUGCAUAGAU
rnacentral:rRNA from 1 species